ACUAAGGUUCAGGCGGCCAUGGAAGGGUGUUGUACCUCUGCCGAUUCUCAUCUGACGGAAUCCAUUAGCCAUUGCACUGCUUCCAACUCCUUCACUAACCUUCCUUCUCGUGGUGUAAUAUCUUCCACCGUUUCCUCUUCUAAUGUGGGUGGGAUAUGAAUAUACAUCUGUGAUCAUGAGACAACUCCCCCAGAGAACCAAGUAAUAAAGACAGAUCAACAUAUUAUAUAUUUAUAUUGAUCAGAGCACUCACUUUAAAGAAGCAAUCUGGUGAUGCAACUGAUAGCUCAAGAAAAAGAGCAUCUGAUAGAGCUGCUGAUGGAAGAAUUCCAGCUAAGAGGGCAACGAUUAAUAGCCCAAAUAAUGCUAGACAGAGUAAGUGCUGUUUGUUUUACUGCAUAGCCUUUACAUCAGACAUGCCUGCUUCAUAAUUCUGAAUUAAUGGAUGGAUUGUUUUAUUCCUUUUUUUUUUUUGACAUAUUCUGAACUUUGAUGUACUAGCUAAAUUUUGGAGAUGAUUUGACUAAUGAAGUUUGCAGAUGUCAUGUGCAUUGACUUCUACUAUUAAUGUUAAUUUUUAGUUAUGUAUGUGUGUGUAUCUUAUAAUAAGCAUAUUCAUAUCUGCUGCAUUUUAUUCCAAGUAAGUUUGAGAUGUUGUGGUUUUGUGGCUGUUAUUUGCUUCUGCUCCUUGAUUUACAGGAGGUUGCUAUCAAAUCUUUUUCAUGCUUGAACUUAUGUUAUUGUUAGGAUGUAUGUUUGAUUUAGUAGUGCUCCCUCCAAUGUGUUUUUGGAAUUUUAACUUGUUACUAAGAAAAAUUAAACAUUACUCCUUCUGUCCCCAUGAGAAAGCACCAUAUGACUCAAAUACGUGAGAGUUGUUUGCAUGACAAUAUGGUGCGUUCUUAUAGGGACAGAGGGAGUAUUAGGGACGGCAUCAAAGUUGAUUCUAGAAAUGCCCUUGAGCCUCUUCUUUUGUAGGUUCGUUAUUUUAGUAUUUUUGGGCAUUGUAUUUGCACUAUUAUGGGUAUGAUGUCCCCGAUUUCGUGACAAACAAAUCAAGCCACAAUAGGGAUAUGAAUUUACUAAGUCAAGUUUUAACUUGCAAUAUUGCCAAAAACUGAUGUUAAGGCAAAUAUCCUCACUAAAUAUUGACCUCACUCUGAAUUUUGGGAUAUGUUCGUCUACACUCAAAGAUUUGAAAGUAUCUUGAGUUCCUCUCACGCACUAUAGUCUUUGAUUUUUAUUCACUUUGUUACUCUCAAGUGAACUCACAAUGAGCUUUUGUUAAUGAAUUGCAUAGGUAUUUGAAAGUUAAUAGGAGGUUGAAUACUCUCUAGAGGGGGGGUGAAUAGAGAGUAUGGGCUUUUUAAACUUUUCUGGCAGUUUGUCUCAAGAGUUUGAGGAGACUGUCAAAACUGUCUUCUGGAACAGUUUUGAGCCAAUUCGUAAACUAUAACGUAUGUGCGGAAAAAUAAACUUUAAAGUAUAACACACGAUAUGUUAACGAGGUUCGGUUCUAACCAACCUACUCCCCGCCUAUGGGUUCUCUUUCAACCCGUAGGAUUUCAACGCCUUUUAUUAAUCCGACUUUAAUACAACCAAGAAGAUCUCACUAUCUCCUCUCACCACGUUCUUCCCCUUGAAGAACCGUAUUACAAGUCCCUUUAAUAAAAGCAAAAUCCCAAAUCUCACAAUAGAGAUUCACAAGUUGAACACUUUGAAAAGUAUUCUUGAUUAGGCGUAUUAAACUUAAUCUAACUCUUUUUGAACUCUUAAGCCUAUUACAAAUGUAAGAGCUAGAUGAACUAAGAAUUACAACUCUUUAAACACUUAGAGAAAUCUUAAAUCAAGAUAGAAAGUUGUAAGAAAAGGUGUAUCAAGAUGUUGUCUUAGUUCUGGACGGAAGCCUCAUAUAUAUAGUGUACGCCUCAACACAUCUUCAAAAACAAGAAGGCUCCUAUCCGUUAUUUUCUGUUGACCUGGUCUUUCAGCGCCUGACUUCAAGAUCUUGAGGUUAUCUUCAAACUGACGUGUACUAACAGCUUAAUAAUAAUUUCGUCAUUGUGUUUGUAAUUGUCCAAUGCUAUGCUGCCAUGUUAGUACUUAAACAAGAUAUUGAAUAAUAAGCAUAAACCAGAUUUAUCAACAUUUAAAUAACCAUUUAAAUUAAUUCCUAUUUUUUAGGAUCGCUAUUUACUAUUUUUAGCAUAAAUUCAACUUUUAUCCAAAUAAUAGUAAAUCUAGAUCUUGCUUAAAUAUAGCCGUGUACAAAUAAUAAUAAAACAUGUGUACCUUGUACUAUAUUUAAUUAUCAAAUUGAUUUUAACCACAUAUUUUAAAUCUAAGUUUAAAUAUAAAAUAUUUAAACGUUAAGCAACAACGUAUAACAAAAUAUUUAAACUUUAUUCAAAUAAUAUCCAAUGUUAA